UUUUUGAGACGGAGUUUCACUCUUGUUACCCAGGCUGGAGUGCAAUGGCGCGAUCUCGGCUCACCGCAACCUCCGCCUCCUGGGUUCAGGCAAUUCUCCUGCCUCAGCCUCCUGAGUAACUGGGAUUACAGGCACGCGCCACCAUGCCCAGCUAAUUUUUUGUAUUUUUAGUAGAGACGGGGUUUCACCAUGUUGACCAGGAUGGUUUCAAUCUCUUGAUCUCAUGAUCGACCAGCCUUGGCCUCCCAAAGUGCUGGGAUUACAGGCUUGAGCCACUGCGCCCGGCAUAAAUUACAUACAUUUUUAAGGGAGCACUUACUAUAUGCCAGGCAUUGUUCUAAGUCCCGUGCACGUCUUAACUCUUUUGUCCUCAUCAAAUGGCACAAAGUGGGUAGUACUGCUAUCUCCAUUUAUAGAUGGUAAAAAUUGGGGCCCACAGAAGUUAAGUACUUGCCCAUGUUAUGCAGCUGAUAAGUAGAAAUCUAGGCUGCUUAAUCCUUCGCUUCUCUGCUGUAGUGGUGCUAGCAUGAGUCCAAAUGUUCAUUCAAACAUCUCUUCCCGGGCAUGCUGGCCCUAGCCAUGACUGGGUUGCCACUGCUGUAACUGGCUUUUGGCUGCAACUCUGAAAUUAUAUCAGGUUCUCAGGUGAGCAUGUUGCUAUUUUAGGUGGUCAAGGACAACAUCGCAGAGUGCUGUUGAUGUUCUCCAUAGGGUGACUCUGAGCGAUUCACCUUUCUCUGGGACACCUUUUUCACUUGCUUUGUAUCUGGGCACUGUGACUCAGUUUCUAAGGUUAUCAACUACGAGUGCUAGAUACCUUUGGUGGUGUCAUUGCCUAUUCAUAGAACAUGCAGUCAGCCCUCCUGGAAAGGGACACAGCAGAACACCGUAAGAGGAGCAGUAUUUGGGGUCACUCCCCAAAUGACCCCAUAGGAACAUGCCAAUUCUAGAGCUUAAGAGGGACCAUGGAGGGAGUGACGAUAAUCAUAAGCCCUUACAAUAUGCCAUCUCUGGUCUAAGCACAUUCUGGGAACUACCUCAUUUAAUCCUCCCCUCAACCAGCUGAUGCAGAUCCUAUUAUUAUCCCCCGUUGGCAGAUGAAGAAAAUGAGGCACAGAGAGGGGACAUGAUUUCCCACAAUCAUAAGGCUCAUAAACAGGAGAUCCAGGAUUCCAACACAGCCAGCAGCUUCAAAGACUGAGCUCAAACAUGGUGCUACAACUGACAGCUGAACCCAUGUCCUUCCCUGUGCUUUAUUUCAGGGAGAUGAGAACUUUCAGCUGUCUUAUUGCCAUAUCACUUUCAGCCUUGAAGGAGCCCUUAGAAACAAAGUGAAAAGAAAACCUGGCCUGAAACAACUGCUGAGUCCCAAUUAGGGAACAAGGUUGGGAGGAAAGAGGGUAGGGGCAGGAUCUGACCAGGUUGUAAUUCAGUAACUGAUGACUAACUGAUCACUGAGAGAAAGAAGCAGGAAUAGCCACAGUCAACAUUCAUGGCAGAAGGAGAAUCCAGGGUCUGUUGCUUGAUCUUCUUGUUCUGGAAACAAGAUUUCAGCCCUGUUCAUCCUUUGGCUCCCACACUGACCCUACUGGACUCUCCUUCUUGCCACCUGUUGCUGCUGGUUGCUCACCCCCAUUUCUAAGACACUGACAGGAAGGGUGUCUCUCAACAGCAUAGGUUUCAUUUUAGCAUCCAAGAAACUGGACAUCACCACUCUGAUUGCUGUUAAUUAUAACAUUACUACUUUCUUUUGGAUGAAGUUUAAAAAGUUAUGCAGAGGUCAGGCACGGCCAGGCGCAGUGGCUCAUGACUGUAAUCCCAGCACUUUGGGAGACAGAGGCGGGUGGAUCACCUGAUGUCAAUACUAGCCUGGGCAACAUGGCAAAACCCUGUCUCUACUAAAAAUACAAAAAAUUAGCUGGGUGUAGUGGCGGGUGCCUGUAAUCCCAGCUACUCGGGAAGCUGAGGCAGGAGAAUCGCUUGAACCUGAGAGGCAGAGGUUGCAGUGAGCUGAGAUCAUGCCACUGCACUCCAGCCUGGGGAAGACAGUGAGACUCCAUGUCAAAAAAAGUUAUGCAAAGAUAUUUGCAAAUAUUGUAUCUGAUAAGGGAUUGCUAUUCAUAAUACAUAAUGCAUGAGGAACUACAACUCAACAACAAAAAAUCUGAUUAAAAAAUGGGCAACGUAUCCUGCACACUUACCCCUGAACUUAAAAUAGAAGAUGGAAAUUUUUAAAAAAGGGUGUGGUGGCAUAUGCCUGUAGUCCCAGCUGCUCGGGAGGCCAAGGUGGGAGGAUCACUUGAGCCCAGGAAUUCAAGGUUGUAGUGAUCUAUGAUCAUGCCAUUGCACUCCACCCUGGGGGACAAAGUAAGACCCCAUCUCUGACAAAAAAAAAUGGGCAAAGAAUUUUAAUAGACAUUUCUUCAAAGAAGAUAUACAAAUGGCCAAAAAGCACAUGAAAAGAUGUUUAACAUCGCUAGUCACCAGGGAAGUGCAAAUCAAAACUGCAAAAUCCAUUAGGAUGAAUGUUAUCAAAAAAUAACAAGUAUUGGCACAGAUGUGGAGAAAGGGAAACCCUGUGCAUUGCUGGUGCAAAUGCCCCCUGCUACAGCCACUGGGGGAAACAGUUUGGCUGUUCUUCAAAAAGGUAAACAGAAUUACCAUAUGCUUCAGCAAUUCCGCUUCUAGAUAUAUAUCCAAAAGCACUGAAAGCAGGUGGCCAGGUACAGUGGUUCAUGCCUGUAAUCCCAGCACUUUGGGAGGCUGAGGUGGAUGGAUCGCCUGAGUCUGGGAGUUCAAGACCAGCCCAACCAACAUGGAGAAACCCCAACUGUACUAAAAAUACAAAAUUAGCCAGACGUGGUGAUGCGUGCCCUUAAUCCCAGCUACUCAGGAGGCUGAGGCAGGAGAAUUCCUUGAACCUGGGAGGCAGAGGUUGUGGUGAGCUGAGAUCACAUCAUUGCACUCCAGCCUGGGAAACAAAAGUGAAACUUCAUCUCAACAGAAAAGAAAGCCAGUAUUCAGAAAUUGUACAUCUGUGUUCAUAGCAACAUUAUUCACAAUAGCCUCAAGAUUAUUGGGAAACAACCCAAAUGUCCAUCAAUAGAUAAAUGGAUUGACCAAGUGUGCUAUACACAUGGAACGGAAUAUUAUUUGGCCCUAAACAUGAAUGAAGUACUGAUACAUGCAACAACAUGGAUGAACGUCAAAAACAUGCUAAAGCAAAAUAAGGCAGCCACAGAAAGACAAGUUUUGCAUGAUUCCACUUGUAUGAGGUACCUAGAAGAGGCACAUUCGUAAAGACAGAAAGUAGAACAGACACCCAGGACCGGAGGGAAAGGAGAAAUGGGAAGUUACGGUUUAAUGGGCAUAGAGUCUGUCAGGGAGAAUGAACACAUUUUGGAAAUGGGCAUAGAGUCUGUCAGGGAAAAUGAACACAUUUUGGAAAUGGAUAGUGGUUGCGCAAAGUUGUGAAUAUACUUAAUGCCAAUGGAUUGUACACUUUAAAACUGAUGAAAAUGAUAAAUUAUGAACAUUUCACUAUAGUUUUAAAAAUCACCAAAAAAUGUCACGUAGAAAGUUAAAAAGUUCUGUGGGGUAAUCUUUUAGCAGUUCAUAAGUCCAUUCACGUUUGCCAUGGCUACCCUACAGAGAGGCACACUAUGUGAACACCACACUUGGCUUUCUGAGCUGGAACUACAAACUACCAUUACUCUACUCCUUGGAGUUUCCCCAAACUGAAUUUGCCCACACAUGGUUGCUAUUGGAACCUACCUGUUGCUACAGUAUCACCGUGCUGUGUUACUAAGGAGUGGGACACGUUCUGACUUUCAAAGCAUUUACACAGUGAAUAAUACCACUUUUGUGCUCCUUGUUAUAAGGCCACAUCUUCAAGUACUUCCGCAUUAAAAAAAAAGUGAGCAAAGGAUUUAUUUGGCUAAAGUUUAAACUUCAAUCAUUAUUUAGUCAGGGACAGAGCCAAUUGUAGUGUUUAAAUGGCAUUAUUAUUUAGACAGGGACAGAGCCAAGUUUACAGAAUUCUGGAAGGCAAGCUUAACCUCAGGGUACCUUAGCAGUGUUCUAUGUGGCUGAUCCUGAGGAUUUAAUUCAGAGCAAAAUGGUCAUCCAUUUAUAACAACCCAGGUUUUCUCUGUAAACUGGAAAUAUAAAGGUGGAUAAGGCAUAAGUCCUACUGUCUGUCAUGAGGCUGAAAGUCGAAUAGAGUAGAAAUAAUGUGAAUAGGGUACAGUAAGUUUGAAUCAGCACAUGUUCAAAGUGCGUUGGGCUCAGGGUCAGGGGCAAGGUCGCAGAGAUGAAAUGGCAUUUGAGUCACAUCCUGAAGGAAGAAUGGAGAUUUCCUGGAUGUCAAAACACAAAAUGGACUUUAUGUAGAAGGAACUGCAUAUGCAAAGCCUCAAAGCAUGGCAGGAUGGGACACGCAGAAAACCACGAGCAGCUGCGUGUGGGUGGAGCAAAGGCAAGUAGGAGAGUGGCAGACCCUGAAAGGUCUUAGAAAGAACUGAGAUUUUGUCUCAGCUCAAUGGGCAACUGCUGAAGGGUUUUAAGUGUGCAAGGGACCUGGAGGGGCAUGAUCAGGUUUCCAUUUUGAGAAAGAAAUUUAAAGUCUGGUGGAUGGAUUUGAAGCUUGGGACAAGGAGACCAGUUGGAAGAUUGUCAGAGCAAUCCAGGUGAGAGGUGAAGAAAGCCCAGAUUCAAGAUUCAAGAGCUAUUUCAGAGGCAGCAGAGACAAGAAUUCUAACUAUUUUACUAGAUUGAAGUUCAAAAUGAGAUCACUGUUCUUUCACCUUGGAAUUAUAGCAAGGUGAAGCUCAGAGAGCUGAAGGGCAGGUGGUUCCCCCUGUACCCACUUCUUGUGGCCAAGCCGCAGGAGCCUCAGCCUUGUCAUACGAAUGGGGCCUGUGGCUGCUUUCUCUCUCUCCUUCCUCUUCUCUAGGGCACCUUACUCAGCCUUCCUAAACCAUUUGAAAACUUGGCCUUUUAAUUUACUGCCAUUUUAUUUUUAUUUUAUUUUUUGUCUCAGUUUUAUGAAUACUUCAAAAACCAGGAAAGUAUAAGAUAGUAAAGAAUGUUCCUCUCACCCACUCUGCACCCACCCAUUUCCCACCCCAACCUGCAAAACGUAACCACUGGCUGGGCCUGGUGGCUCACACCUGUAAUCCUAGCAUCUUGAGAGGCAAGAUGAGCAGAUCACUUUAGCCCAGGAAUUCAAGACCAGCCUGGGUAACAUGUGGAAACUCCAUCUCUACAAAAAUACCCAAAUUAGCUGGACAUGGUGGUACAUGCCUGUAGUCCCAGAUACUUGGGAGACUGAGGUGGGCAGAUCUGUUACUAGUUUCUUUGUUCUUUUUCUUUUUCUUUUCUUUUCUUCUUCUUUUUUUUUUUUUUUUGAGAUGGAGUCUUGCUCUAUCGCCCAGGCUGGAGUGCAGUGUGCCAUCUUGGCUCACUGCAGCCUCCUCCUCUCGGGUUCAAGCAAUUCUCUGCCUCAGUCUCCCGAGUAACUGGGAUUACAGCUACCAUGCCAGACUAAUUUGUGUAUUUUAAAAAGUAGAGACGAGGUUUCACCGUCUUGACCAGGCUGGUCUUGCACUCCUAACCCUGUGAUCCACCUACCUCGGCCUCCCAAAGUGCUGGGAUUAUAGGUGUAAGCCACUGCACCCAACUGUUACUAGUUUCUUAUGUAUUCUUCCAGGGAUUUGUGUAAGCCUAUCGUCAAGCAAAUGUGAUUUUAUGUUCUUCUUUUCCCCCUUUUAUUUCUAUUCCUUCUUGGGAGCAUGGGUCCUGCUUAAGAUAAGUUUAGGGAGCCCCAAUGGAAUUCUUUCAGACCUAAGGAGUCAGUCCUGGUUACUAUUGUCCAUUACUGAGCCCUUUUCCUCUGCAAUACCUUGCAAUAUAAGGGCCCCAAACAAAAAGCCUUUCAGUGGGGCAAGGCCUGAUUGCCUCAGGAGGCCCCACAAUGCCAAGGCCCCCAUCUACUCCUGGACCUACUGAAGUAACUGAGGCACCCAUGCUGGCUUGCACCAGGCAGUGUGGGUGAGACCCCUGAACGCAGUGAAAAUGCAGGCAUCACUGAGGAUAGAGUGCCUGUGCUGUGCUAGUAUGGGACUCCACAGCCAAGAGGGCCUACAUUCUCAGGGAUGAUUCUUCCAUUACAUUGAGCCACUUUCCUCAGGUGCAGCCAUGGGGGAAGAGGGCUGGGCAUAAGGGACCAGCUGCAUGCUGCUCCUGGAGUUCGCUCUCCAGGACAGUCCUCAACCUUGGGCCUCUUCAGAAGCAUUGCUCUUCUUUCUUGCCAGCCGGUCUCAGCCCAACCCACCCAAGUCUGCACCCUCUGAGUACAGCAGAUAUUACAUUACUUUGAAAUAAAAGGAGAGACUCUAGGUCUCACUGCUUCCUUCCAGAAGCUUCUUUUGUCUCUUGCAAACAUAGGUGGCUUUGGGAGGAGUGGCAGCACACUUCAUAUACCAACAGCAUCUUAGCCCAGAGGUCUUGGGGACACAGAUAGGGUCUUCAUCUCACAUGAUCGGGGCUGAGCUCUUUUUGGUGAGUAAAGUGGAUUGAAUAAAGGAGGAGGGCUGAAAGGAAUUUGAGACUAGUCUGGGCAACAAAGCAAGACCCCAUCUCUACAAAAAAUAUAAUAAGGUUGGGUUUGACCAGGAAUUUGAGACUUGCCCAGGCAACAUGGCAAAACCCCAUCUCUACAAAAAUACAAAAAUUAGCCAGGCCUGGUGGUGCAUGCCUGUAGUCCCAGCUACUCAGGAGACUGAGGUGGGAGGAUCACCUGUGCCUGGGAGGUCCAGGUUGCAGUGAGCUGUGAUUGCACCACUGCAUUCCAGCCUGGGUGACAGAGUGAGACCCUGUCUCAAAAAAUUAAAAUAAAAUAAAAUAAUAAAAGAAAAAAAAACAGAGACCCAUAGAGAUCAAGUAACUUACUUUUAAUCACUGUUACUUUUAAGGAAAUCAAUUUGACUACUAAGGCAUAAUGUCACAAUGGCUUAGGCAAGAUAGAAAGAGUUUGUCUCUCAUGGUAGUCUCAUCAUGAGUAGUCCAGGGCUGAUAAGACAGCUGAGUCUUGUUGGGGACCCAGGUUCCUUCUUUCUUGUUGCUCCAAUACCCUAGUCCACCUUGUUAAAGGUGGAGCAAUGCCACCUCUGCAUUCCAGUGGGAGGAAUGAGAGGAAGUAGAAGACACACCCUUCCCCUUUAAGGGCAUAACCGUGAAGUUGGGCUCAUAUUUCACUGGCCAGAACAUGGUCCCAUGGCCAUACCCAGUUGCAAAAGAAUCUGGGAAAUGUAGUCUGACCAGAAGGCCACUCAUACAGCUAAACUUCAGGGAAGAGAGGGAGAAUGGAUACUGGAAAACAAAUAGGAAUCUCUGUCACAGUCAGAAGUAGAACUGGGAUUCAAACCCAACACUUUGACUUCAAAGCCAGAACGCUCUUUUUUUUAGGGGCCUUUAUCUCCCCAGAAGGCAGAACUCUUAACCAUAAUCUUCAUUAUGCUGUUUUCUAGAAGAAUUAAAUGAAGUCCACAGUUGGUAAGGUCUUUCUCUACAGUUUGAUACUUCUUUUAAUAAUCUACUUUGAGCACAUGAACACAUGUAUGCACAUACAUUUUUACUAAAGGGAUAGAUUGUAGCUGCCCUUGCCACAAUAUUACAACUCUUACUGUGAAAGUUGCUCGAUAUUGAUGGGGAAUCAAGUAAUGUUUCCUUUUUUUUUUUUUUUUUUUUUUGCCUUAUGACAGGGUUUUACUCUGUCACCUAGGCUGGAAUGCACUGGUACAAUCCUGGCUCAUUGCAGUCUUGACCUGCUGGACUCAAGAGAUGCUCCCACCCCACCCUUCUGAGUAGCUGGGACUACAGGUGUAGUCAAAAAAUAGAAAUCAAUUUAAAAAAAUUGAUUUGUAGAGGUGGGGGUCUCUUACUAUGUUACCCAGGCUGGUCUCAAACUCCUGGGCUCAAGUGAUCCUCCUGCUUUCCUUCCCAAACUGCUAGGAUUACAGACAUAAGCCACUGCCUUUCAUUCUCUCCUUCUAGACUUUCAAUUUUUAGUAUUUUUUUGUGUGUAUGCCUUUCUUUUUCUUCUCUUUAUUCUUCUCUCCUUCCUCCUCAUGCCUCAUGCUUUAUGAUGCUUGGUAUAUUAUGCUAUCAUCAGUUUUAUGAUUUUUUUUCUGCAUCAGAUUAUAGAGUUGGGCUUGGAAAUAACUCCCCAUCAAUGAAACUUUCUCUUCUUUCAUUAGCAAGUGGGGCAAACCAGGGUAACAUUUUGUUCUUUUUCUUUCUUUCUUUUUUUUGUUUGAGACAUAGUCUCUCCCUGUCACCCAGUCUGGAGUGCAGUGAUGUGAUCUCAGCUGGCUGCAACCUCUGCCUUCUGGGUUCAAGUGAUUCUCCUGCCUCAGCUUCUCGAAUAGCUGGGAUUACAGGCAUGCACCGCCAUGCCCAGCUAAUUUUUGUAUCUUUAGUAAGACAGGGUUUCACCACGUUGGCCAAGCUGCUCUUGAACUCCUGACCUCAUGAACCACCUGCCUCAUCCCCUACAAAGUGCUGGGAUUACAGGUGUGAGCCACCAUGCCUGGCCAGGGUAACCUUUAAGAAUACUUAGAAGCCCAGAAAUAAACCCAAACAUAUGGUCAAUUAAUUUUUGACAAAGGCAACAAGAAGACACCUGGGAAAACAACAGUGUCUUUUAAUAAAUGGUAUGAGAAAACUGGAUUUCCACAGGUAAAAGAAUACAAUUAUGGGCCAGUAAUGGUGGUUCACACCUGUUAUCCCAGCACUUUGGGAGGCCAAGGCAGGCAGAUCAUGAGGUCAGGAGUUAAAGAACAGCCUGACCAACAUGGGGAAACCCUGUUUCUACUAAAAAUACAAAAAUUAGCCAGGUGUAUGUCACUCACCUGUAGUCCCAGCUACUCAGUAGGCUGAGGCAGGAAAAUCACUUGAACCUGGGAGGCGGAGGUUGUGGUGAGCCAAGAUCAUGCCACUGCACUCUAGGCUGGGCAACAAAGCUAGACUCUGUCAAAAAAAAAAAAAAAAAAAGAAUAAAAUUAGAUCCUUAUCUUAUACCACAUGCAAAAAUCAACUCAAAAUGCAUAGAAGACCUAAGCAUAAGACCAGAAACAAUAAAAGUCCUAGAAAAAAACACAGGGGAAAAGCUCCUUGACAUUGGCCUUGGCAAUGAUUUUUCUGGCAUAUCAUACCAAAAGCUCAGGCUACAAAAGUAAAAAUAAGUGGGACUACAUCACACUAAAAAGCUUCUGCACAGCAAAGGAAACAAUCCCCACAACGAAAAGGCAACCUACAGACUGGGAAAUAAAUAUUUACAAACCAUAUAUCUGUUAAGUGCUUGCUAUACAAAACUUACAAAGAACUCAUAUAACUCAAUAACAAGAAAACAUAUAACCCAAUUUAAAAAAUGGUCAAAGGACCUGAAUAGAUAUUUCUUCAAAGAAGACAUAAAAAUGGCCAACAGGUAUACAAAAAGAUUCUUAACAUCAAAACCCCUAUCAAAUGUCACCUCACACCCAUGGAUAGCUAAGGAUAUGUGUUGGCCAGGGUGUGGAGACAAGGGAACCUUAUGAUAUUGGUGUGAAUGUAGGUUGGUGUAGCCAUUGUGGGAAACAAUAUGGAGGUUCCCAAGGAAAUUAAGAAUAGAACCACUGUAGGAUCCAACAAUCCCUGAGUUUAUACCCAAAGGAAAUGAAAUCACCACCUUGUAAAGAUAUCUGCGCUCCUAUGUUCUUUGUGAUGUUAUUCAAAAUAGCCAAGAUAUGGAAGCUAACUAGGUGCCCACUAGUGGAUGAAUGGAUUAACAAACUGUGGUGCAUAUAUACAAUGAAAUGUGAUUCAACCUCAGAAACGGAGGAGAUUCUGCCACUUGCCACAACAUGGAUGAAACUAGAGGCCAUUAAGCUAAGUGAAGUUAGUCAGACAUAUAAAGAAAAAUAUUAUGAAGUCUCACUUAUAUGUGGACUUUAAAGAAAAAAGUCAAACUACAGUAAAAGAGAAUAAAACAGUGGUUACCAGGGACAGGUAGAGGGGCAAAGAGGGGAGCUGCAGGUCAAAGAAUACAAGCAGCAGACAAGUAGGAUGAGUGAGUCUGGAGAUCCGAUGUGCAGCAUGAGUUCACAAUAGUGCAUGGCAUUUGGGAUUUUUGCUAAAUGGUUAUAUUAUAGCUGCUCUUGCUACCAAAAGGGGGGUAACUGUGUGAUGAUGGAUAUGUUUAUUUGCCUCACUAUAGUUACCAUUUUACUGCUUAGAUGCAUCUCAUAACAUCAUGCUGUGUACCUUAAAUAUACAAAAUAACAUUUGUUUCUUUUAUUUUUUUAAAAGAAUACAUAGAAAAUAGGAGAACAUUUAAAAUUAGCAUACAUCAAACAUCGUGAUUUUGCCACAAAUUGAUUAUUUUCAUUAAAAGACAAUUUAAUGUCAUUUGUUCCCACAUGUUGUAUUUUAGGGCUGACAUAGUAGAAUGCUAUCAAAAUUGGGAAGUUUCAUGAUUCAUGCAUGUACAACUGCACUCAGGUACCUCUCUCUUCUCUCACCUCUAUAAGGGCAGUUUUGUUUGAACCUCUCAAGACUGCAGACAUGUUCUACAAAAGCAGUUUGAAAGUUUCGCUCUUUUUGCCCAGAUUGGAGUGCAAUGGUUGAUCUCGGCUCACUGCAACCUCCACCUCCCAUGUUCAAGUGAUUCUCCUGCCUCAGCCUCCCUAAUUCCUUUGAGAAUGAAUGAAUCCUCUCCUCAUACACACUAUUUUGUAUAGAAUUUAAGGGAUUCACAUUAUCGCCUGAAACUGGAUUCCAAGGGCAAUGGGUGCCUUCUUCCCUACAUUUCUACAAUGUAAAGAGGCCAUCCUGGUGAUUCUUCUCCAAAGACUUCCUCCAAGGCUGGAGUACAGUCGUACAAUCUCAGCUCACUUUAACCUCUGCCUGCCAGGCUCAAGCAAUUCUCAUGCCUCAGCCUCCCGAGUAGCUGGGAUUACAGGCGCUUCCCUAGCGUUCUACAUUGUCUCCUUUAAUCCUCAAGGCCACCCUUUCAGAUAUAUCGGACCUUUGACAAUGGCAGCUGCUGGAUCAGUCUUGGUGAGUGUUGGAAGUAUAGUUAGACCUCACUUUGCAUGGUCCCAAUUUGCACAAACCUUUGACUGUUUAGUUAAAUCACACCAGAACCCCAACAACAUGGUUCAAAUUUCAGUUACAACAAUGUUAUUAACUGUGCACAAUUACACCAAGUACAACCUCACUGUCAGCUCUUCAGCCCACAGACCACUAUGCGAAUAACAGAUGCAUAUCACGAUCGGUAACCAGUCACACCACUCCUUUCAAAGUCCACUGAUGAUUGGCCACUGCACAUAUGUUCAGUUCAUACACAGAAGGCAAAGCGUGUAGUUGGGUUGCUGGUUUCCCUAUGAAUGAGGCCACAUCUUGGUUUACAGUAAUAGCUACUCAAAAGAGGAAAUUGGCCAACCAAGAUGAAAGUGCAGCAAAAAGUCCAAAAAGUGAUAACACUGGAAGUGAACUUGAAUCAGUUACAGAAAACAGUUCACUGUGAGAAUGUGGAUGCUGCAUCAUUCAAGAGACCCUAGAUAUGCAGCCAGAGGAACUUAAAAAGGCAAACUUAAUUGAGGAAGGAAGUGUGGGGAAAAGCAUGCCUUCUCAGAGGAAGUGAAGACCACAUUCACUUCACAUUGGCAGAAACUUCACAUUGAAGCAACUCUUGGAGAUUUUCAUGACACUGAAAUCACAAAGGAUAAAAUGUUGCUAGCAGAUCCAGUCUUAGAAUAAUUCAUCAUGUCUGAGAAAAGAUGCCCUCUCCAUGUCGUAAGUUACACAACAAGAAGGAGGUUUUGGAGAGUCUUUCACAUCCUCCCAUGGCUGGUCCCAUUCCACUGCUGCUAUCCAUCUUCAAGCCUUACCAAGUCCCAGUAGCAUCUGAAUAAACUGGUAAAAAUCAGGGAGUCCUGGAUUAAAUGCUCCAAUAAGGUUUCUGAAUUCCUUGGUACAUUUCCAGGGAGUUUUCUUGGGGUUAGGGAAGUCAUUUACAAUGUCUCUAAGCUCAAUUUUAGACCAUGGAGUAGAGUUGAUUAUGGCAGGCGUGCCUGCCUAAUCAGAGGGUCUCAUUUUGCAAGCAUUUACCCAACUUUCCUUUUUUCAUUGUCUUCAGAGUGAAAGGGUAGCUAGGCAAAAGGUAAGGACAGAUAAAGAGAAGGAACCGUCAGGGUUAAUUCAGUCAAGGUACAGUUCUUUUUUUUUAACAUCCUGAGUUUUUGCUUAAGAUUUUCCUUUGCCUUCUGUAAGAAAUUUUUUAGGGAGGCAAUUUUUUAUUAACUUUAUCUUCUAGGUGUUUCUCUGCACCGAUUACAAAUUACAUCCCAUUGCAUUUCUUUUCUUUUCCAAUGUGCCUCACAAGUGAACGAUUUUAUCUGGGUUAAAACUUCCCCGUAGUGGCCACUUUAAAUCUAAGUUAUCUUUGUAAGAUUAACUCAUUUUUCCAAAAAUGUGCAAGUCCUGGGUCCAUAAUUCUUAUAAAUAAAAUUUGCUGGAGUUCCAGAAGACAGAGUGCCAGACUCCUUUUGAUUCAGAUGAACCCACUGUCAACAGGUACCUAGCCAAGAACUGUAUCUGGAUCCAAUCUGGUUAAUUAUCAAAUUCAGUUUGAUCCUGGGCUCUGUUUGUUCAAAUGAAAGUCUAGAGAGCUCAAAAUAUAAUUCAUGGAGCUCAGUCUGAGAGGAAAUUAACAGCCUCCAGUUACAAACAAGAGAGCCGUGAGCACAGUGGGGUCUGUGGGUACCUCUCCUGGUAGCUCUGUAUUCCUGGGGCUGCCAGAGAAACACCUUUGGAUCCCAUUUCUGGCACCACAUCUGUUAAAAAUAAAAGCUUUAGAUAAAAUAAACAUAAUAGAGUUUAUUUUAAACAAAGAACAAUUCACAAUUUAGGUGGCACUCAGAAUCAAAAGAGAUUGGGAGUUCUUGGCUGCAACAGCAUGAGCUGUGAGCUUUUACAAGGAGGGGAGACAAUGAAAAUGUACCUGAUGGGUUUAGUGUGGGAAGGCCCUGGCCAGAGGUCAGUUGGUGUUAGUUUUGUUUUACUGUUUUACAGUGGGCUCUGUUUACCUAGAAGCUAAAAUACUGGCCUGUCUCUGUUUAAUGCUCUCCUUAUUAUGAUUUUUUAAAAAACAAUUAAUAAGAGUUUACUAAGUAGGCUGGACAUGGUGGCUCGAGCCUGUAAUCCCAGCAAUUUGGGAGGCCGAGGCAGGCGGAUCACUUGAGGUUAGAGUUCGAGACCAGCCUGGCCAACAUAGUGAAAACCCAUCUCUAGUAAAAAUACAAAAAUUAGCAGGGUGUGAUGGUGGGCACCUGUAAUCCCAGCUACUUGGGAGGCUGAGACAGAAGAAUCACUUGAACCUGUGAGACAGAGGUUGCAGUGAGAUCGUCCCACUGCACUCCAGCCUGGGUAACAAGGUGAGAGUCCAUCUCAAAAAAAAAAAAAAAGAGUAUACUAAGUAAAUAUUAGUUUCACUAUGAUUUGUAAUUUCUUUUUUUGUAACUGUCAGAAAGACAGUUUUUAAUAUUUUGACAAAACUUUUUGAAACUUGCAGAACAAUCAUAAUUCUUCCCACUGAUUAUUAAGAUUGUUUUGCACUAUUCACAAUAGUCAAGAUAUGGAAUCAACCUGUAACCGUCAACAAGUGAAUAGAUUUUAAAAAUGUGGUGUAUACACACGAUGGAAUAUUCUACAGCAUUCCAUUGUGAAAGAGAAGGAAAUCCUGUCAUUUGUGACAAACAUGGAUGAACCUAUAGGACACACAAGUGAAGUAAGCCAGGCACAGAAAGAGAAAUUCUUUCAAAUGUGGAAAAAGAAAAUAAAGAAAAAAAAAUUCUGCAUGAUUUCACUUACAUGUGGAAUCUAUAAUAGAGUUAAACUCAUUAAUAGAGACGAAGAGUAGAGUGGUGGUUACCAGAGUCUGGGGAAUGAGAGUUGGAUUGGGGAGAUGUUGGUUAAAGAGUAUAACAUUUUAGUCAGGGCUGAGCACAGUGGCUUACGCCUAUAAUCUCAACACUUUGGGAAGCUGAGGCAGUAGGAAGCUUGAGCCCAGGAGUUCGAGACCAGUCUGGGCAACAUAGGGAGACCCCAUCUCUACAAAAAAUAAAUAAAUAAGUUAGCCAGCAUUGUGGUGCAUUCCUGUGGUCCCAGCUUUUGGCUUGGUGCAAAAGUUCUUGCGAUUUUUGCUAAUGUUUUAAUGGCAAACCUGCAAUAACUUUUGCAUCAACAUAAUACUUGAGAGUCUUAGAUGGGAGGAUCACCUGAGCCCAGGAGCUUGAGGCUGCAGUGAGCCAUGAUUGCACCACUGCACUCCAGUCUGGAUGACAGAGUGAAACUGUCUCAAAAAAUAAAAAAAAUAAAAAAAAUAAAAUUUUAGUGAGGAGGAAAAGGUUCAGGAGAUCUACUAUACAACAUUGUGACUGUAGUCAAUGCCAAUAUAUCGUAUACUUAAAAAUUGCUAAGAUAGUAGAUUUUAAAUAUUUUCACCACAAAAAAAGUGAGAUAGUAGGUGUGUGAGCUUGAUUUAGACAUUCCCCAAGGUAUGCACAUAUCAAAUCAUCAUGUUGUGUUCCAUAGAUCAGGGGUCCCCAAGUGCCAGGCCAUGGACCGGUGCCAGUCCGAGGCCUGUUCGGAACCAGGCUGCACAGCAGGAGGUGAGCAGCGGGCAAGAAAACAAAGCUUCAUCUGUGCUUACAGCCGCUCCCCUCGCUCACAUUACCGCCUGAGUUCUGCCCCUGUCGAUCAACAGCAGCAUUAGAUCCUUACGGGAGCACAAACCCUAUCGUGAACUGUGCAUGCGAGGGAUCUAGGCUGUACGCUCCUUAUGAGAAUCUAAUGCCUGAUGAUCUGACACUAUCUCCCAUUACCCCGAGAUGGCACUGUCUAGUGCAGAAAAUCAAGUUCAGGGCUCCUGCUGAUUCUACAUUAUGGUGAGUUGUAUAAGUAUUUCAUUACAUAUCACAAUGUAAUAUUAAUAGAAAUAAAGUGUGCCAUAAAUGUAACGCACUUGAAUCAUCCCGAAACCAUCCCCUCUCUGGUCCAUGGAAAAUCAUCUUCCAUGAAACCAGUCCCUGGUACCAAAAAGGUUGGGGACCACUGCCAUAGAUAAAUCUAAUUUUUAUUUGUCCAUUAAAAAUAAAUUUUUAAGGCCAGACACAGUGGCUUAUGCCUGUAAUCCUAGCACUCUGGGAGGCCAAGGCAGGUGGAUCACAAGGUCAGGAGUUUGAAACAGACUGGCCAACACAGUGAAACCCCAUUUCUACUAAAAAUACAAAAAAAUUAGCUGGGUGUGGUGGCAGGUGCCUGUAAUCCCAGCUACUUGGGAGGCUGAAGCAGGAGAAUUGCUUGAACCUGGAAGGUGGAGGUUGCAGUGAACCAAGAUCAUGCCAUUGCAGUUCAACUUGGGCGACAGAGUAAGUCUCCAUCUCAAAUAAAAAUAAAAAUAAAAAAACUUAAAAAAAUUUGCAUUAAAAAAGUUUUUUGCAUGAUUUUAGGUUGCACAGUCAUUUUUACCAUCCCACACUACUAUGCAAGUGAAGACUGCUUUUUUUUUUUUUUUUUUUUGAGACUGAAGCUUGCUCUGUCACCCAGGCUGAAGGGCAGUGGCUCUAUCUCAGCUCACCACAACUUCCACCUCCCAGGUUCAAGUGAUUCUCCUGCCUUAGCCUCCUGAGUAGCUGGGACUACAGGCGUGUGCCACCAUGCCUGACUAAUUUUUGUAUUAUUAGUUGAGAUGGGAUUUCACUAUUUUGGCCAGGCUGGUCUUGAACUCCUGACCUUGUGAUCCGCCCACCUCAGCCUCCCAGAGUGCUGAGAUUACAGGUGUGAGCCACCACGCCCAGCCAAGGACUGCUUUUACAUGCUCUUGGAAGUAUUUGCUGCCUCCAUUUCUGUCACUGUGGUGAGUCCACUUAUGCCUUCACCAUGCCAGUCCUAAGGCAGCCGAUGGCUUAGGAAGGUCAGAGACUGAGAUAUUAAAAUCCUUGGGGAUAUCUACCAACAUGUCUCCAUUCCAUCUGUUAGGGUUUUUCUAACCUGGGCCCCGACCUGCCUAUAUUUUUUUGAAGUUCAGCCACUGGACUAUUAACCCUACACUUUUUCUGUGCUGCCAUCGUGGGGCUGAAGGAGCUUUGCAUGCAUCCACCAAGUCUGGCCUUCACACCUGAAUUUCACACCUGGCUUUCACCCUUAGCUGCUCCAUCUUUCUGUGAAGCAUCAGUGUCACUUAGCAAUAUCCAUCCAAUCCCAUUAUCCUUAUGUCCACCUUUCCCUUCAAAGUCUCAGAUGCCUGAUACAUUUAUUCUACCUGCUAGUGCAUUAAGUUCCAAGUCGUUAUGAUGAAAAAUUUAACAACUGAAUGGCCACUGUGUCAAUGGUGCCUGAGCUCUACCUGCCAUCAGUGACGGGGUCCUCACAGCCAACCCAGUGGUGUGUGAUCCACUUCCAAAAUCAUCUUAUUGCCUGUUUUCUUGGACCACUCUUGAUAUCAACUGUUUCAGGUUAGAGUCACUGGAAAUUCGGGUUAUAUUUAUUAGAGAUCAAUACCUAUAAAAAAUGUGAAAGGAAGCAGGAUUGUGCUGAAAAAGAUAAACAGAGAAGAUGACCACGAUGUCAGCCCCGCAAAGCCUUUGGCCGACCCAGCAGAAAAGUCUGGAGCGGGUAUAGCUUUUCAGAUCCUCCCCAGUUAGGUCAAAAUGGCUAUGCCUUUACACUGGCACUUCCCUCAGUCGUGGGCUUUGGGCUGUCCUGGAUGUGACCUCAGAUGAAGUGGCUCACACAGCUGGGGCUGACCUUGACAGAGCUGACAGCUGAAAGCUGUUUGCUGACCACACUCACACAGAUGAGCAGCAUGCCCCUGCUUGAAGGACUUGGAUGACACAACUUUAUGUCUACCAUAUUUUGGGGGUCACAUUCCUCACACCCAGCUCUGCCUCAAAUAGAGACAUUGACAAAAAUUCAUUCUAGUUGCAAACCAACUGUAGAAUAAUAUAAAACCGCAGUAUAAGUCUAGCAGCAUAAAUCUCAUCCUAAGUGGAAAAGAAAGGGUCAUUUAUUCACGUAUUUUUGAAAAUAAAGCUUUUCCUAUGUCUUUAUUAUAACAUGGAUACCCACAAAGAAUAGUCAUGUAUAUUUUCCUCUUUUGAAUCUUCUAGAAAAAAGUGCUGAGCUUGGUGGAUCACUUCUGUAAUCCUAGCACUUUGGGAGGCUAAGGCCAGUAGAUUGCCUGAGCUCAGGAGUUCGAGACCAGACAGGGCAACAUGGCAAGACCCUGUCUCUACUAAAAAUACAAAAAAAAAAAAAAGUAGCCAGGCAUGAUGAUGUGCACCUGUAAUCCCAGCUACUCAGGAGGCUGAGGCAGGGGAAUUACUUGAACCUGGGAGGCAGAGGUUGCAGUGAGCCAAGAUCACACUACUGCACUCCAGCCUGAGUGACAGAGUGAAACUCUGUCUCAAAAAAAAAAAAGUUUAAUUAAAAAAAAAAAAACGGAAUGAUUUUUCCUUUCCAGUAUCACUGGAAAAGCAGAGUCAUCUAGUAAACUCUCUUAGUAACAUGCAAUUAAACUGAACAAAAUUAAACACAUCUCACAUGACUGUCAUAGGUUCCCUCUGCAGAGCUGAAUCAUAUCUACAAAAGCAAACUCCCCUAGGAGAAUAAUAGAAACUUGAAAAAUGAGAGGAAGGCUCAUGGUUAGAGACCCAGCAGGAGAGGAGCUCGGAGGUUAACCACGGCCUGAAUUCCGAACAUGCUGAAAUAAUAAAAUGUUUUCGGUCCACCAAGUGUUUACUUAGUGUCUUCAGCAUUGCCUCUGAGGCUCCAGUGGUCCUGAGGGAAGGCUGAAGACCACAGGACUAAAUGCCUCCCCCAGCAUGUUGCUCAUUUCUGGCAAAACUGGGGCCAGAACCCAGCCCUCCUGACACAGGAUGGUGCUUGUUUCUCCCUUCAGGUUUCUCUUCAGCGCUGAAUGGUGUGUGUGGUAUACUUCAGGCUAUAAAACAAAGCAAGAUGUCCGGCGGCUGGCUUCGUUGGGAACUAUGGCUAAACGUCAUCCUGAUUUGAUCUUUUGCCACAAGCAGUCUGGUGUUGCCAUUGCAAGACUGUGUGAAAAAUGUGAUGGCAAGUGUGUGAUUUGUGACUCCUCUGUGUGUCCCUGCACUCUGGUAUGCAUAUGUGAUGAGUGUAACUAUGGAUCUUACCAGGGGCGCUGUGUGAUCUGUGGAGGCCCUGGGGUCUCUGGUGCCUAUUAUUGUAAGGAGUGUACCAUCCAGUAGAAGGAUAGAGAUGGCUGCAGAAAGAUUGUUAGUUUGGGGAGCUCUAAGACAGAUCUCUUCUGUGAAUGCAAAAAAUAUGGCUUCAAGAAGAGGUGAUUGGUCAGUGGCCCCUUCUUUCCCUCCACAUCAAGCUGCUGCAGCUACCAGAAAAGAUGCCUACUACUAUCAGCAGAAAGGGAGCAGAGCACAAUGCAUCACCAGGAGUGUCUGCUAGUGUACUGGCAGCUUGCCACUCUC